GCCUGGGUGGCUCAGUUGGUUGAGUGUCUGACUUCAGCUCAGGUCACGAUCUCAUGGUCCGUGAGUUCAAGCCCCGCGUCGGGCU
rnacentral:tRNA from 1 species